GAUGAACGCUGGCGGCGUGCCUAAUACAUGCAAGUCGAGCGAAGCGGGGACGGGGGAGUAACACGUGGAUAACCGCCUAUACGACUGGAAUAACUUCGGGAAACCGAAGCGAAACCAGACACUUAUAGAUGGCUCCGGGGUGCAUUAGCUAGGUGGUAAGGGAACUGCUUACAAAGGCAACGAUGCAUAGCCGACCGGGGAGGGUGAUCGGCCACACUGGAACUGAGACACGGUCCAGACUCCUACGGGAGGCAGCAGUAGGGAAUCUUCCGCAAUGGGCGAAAGCCUGACGGAGCAAUGCCGCGUGAGUGAUGAAGGUCUUCGGAUCGUAAAAUUCUGUUAUUAGGGAAGCGGUACCUAAACAGAAAGCCCCGGCUAACUACGUGCCAGCAGCCGCGGUAAUUC
rnacentral:rRNA from 1 species